GUAAGGAAUCUUUCGCAAUGGGGGCAACCCUGACGAAGCAACACCGCGUGGAGGAUGAAGGCGUUUUCGUUGUAAACUCCUUUUCUGAGGGAAUAAAUCUGAAGGUACCUCAGGAAUAAGCAACGGCUAACUACGUGCCAGCAGCCGCGGUAAGACGUAGGUUGCGAGCGUUAUCCGGAAUUAUUGGGCGUAAAGAGUUCGUAGGUGGUUUGUUAAGUUGGGUGUCAAAGCCCCAAGCUCAACUUGGGACAGGUACCCAAAACUGGCAAACUAGAGACAAGCAGAGGCAGGUGGAAUUCUGUAUGUAGGGGUAAUAUCCGUAGAUAUACAGAGGAACACCAAAAGCGAAGGCAGCCUGCUGGGCUUGUUCUGACACUCAAGAACGAAAGCGUGGGGAGCAAACGGGAUUAGAUACCCCGGUAGUCC
rnacentral:rRNA from 1 species